rnacentral:rRNA from 1 species
CCUACGGGCGGCAGCAGUGAGGAAUAUUGGUCAAUGGACGCAAGCCUGAACCAGCCAUGCCGCGUGCAGGAAGACGGCUCUAUGAGUUGUAAAUUGCUUUUGUACGAGGGUAAACGCGGAUACGCGUAUCUGUCUGAAAGUAUCGUACGAAUAAGGAUCGGCGAACUCCGUGCCAGCAGCCGCGGUAAUACGGAGGAUUCAAGCGUUAUCCGGAUUUAUUGGGUUUAAAGGGUGCGUAGGCGGUUGGAUAAGUUAGAGGUGAAAUCCCGUGGCUCAACUUCGGAAUUGCAUCUGAUACUGUUCGGCUAGAGAGUAGUAGCGGUAGGCGGAAUGUAUUGUGUAGCGGUGAAAUGCUUAGAGAUCAGACGGAACACCGAUUGCGAAGGCAGCUUAC